rnacentral:lncRNA from 1 species
ACUUCAAAUUUGUAAAAUAUACAUAUUUUAGUACUUUAUUUAAGAACAUAUUUGGUUGGUCAAAAGUGAAGCACCGAAAGUCCGAAAGUAGUAUUUUCGGAAAGUGACAUCUUAUCAAUUGUUUGGUAUGCGAAAGUAAAUAUGAAAAUCACUUUACAAAAGUGGGCUAAUAAAGUGAGUUAUAACUAAAUCUCACUUUUUUAACUUCAGCUCAAAUAACUUCGUAUUCAUUGAAAGUGAAAAACUUAGCUAAGAUGUUAUAUUUGGUCUUUCUUUUAAUCUUUAAAUUUAUUUUUAAAAUUAAGUUUUUACUUUAAAUUUGA